rnacentral:rRNA from 1 species
GUCGAACGGACAGGUAAUGAAACCUAGUGAUUUAUCUGUUAGUGGCGGCCUUGUGAGUAACGCGUGGGUAACCUGCCGUAUACAGGGGGAUAACACUUAGAAAUAGGUGCUAAAACCGCAUAAGCGCACAGGAUCGCAUGGUCCGGUGUGAAAAACUCCGGUGGUAUACGAUGGACCCGCGUCUGAUUAGCUUGUUGGCGGGGUAGAGGCCCACCAAGGCGACGAUCAGUAGCCGGCCUGAGAGGGUGAACGGCCACAUUGGGACUGAGACACGGCCCAAACUCCUACGGGAGGCAGCAGUGGGGAAUAUUGCACAAUGGGGGAAACCCUGAUGCAGCGACGCCGCGUGAGUGAAGAAGUAUUUCGGUAUGUAAAGCUCUAUCAGCAGGAAAGAAAAUGACGGUACCUGACUAAGAAGCCCCGGCUAACUACGUGCCAGCAGCCGCGGUAAUACGUAGGGGGCAAGCGUUAUCCGGAUUUACUGGGUGUAAAGGGAGCGUAGACGGUGAAGCAAGUCUGAAGUGAAAGGCGGGGGCUCAACCCCCGGACUGCUUUGGAAACUGUUUGACUGGAGUGCAGGAGAGGUAAGUGGAAUUCCUAGUGUAGCGGUGAAAUGCGUAGAUAUUAGGAGGAACACCAGUGGCGAAGGCGGCCUGCUGGACUGUAACUGACGUUGAGGCUCGAAGGCGUGGGGAGCAAACAGGAUUAGAUACCCUGGUAGUCCACGCGGUAAACGAUGAUCACUAGGUGUCGGAGGGUAGAGACCCUUCGGUGCCGCCGCAAACGCAGUAAGUGAUCCACCUGGGGAGUACGUUCGCAAGAAUGAAACUCAAAGGAAUUGACGGG